CUUUUUUUCUUCUUGGCAGGUGUCCUUGUAGACUUGGGUCUGGAGGAAAAUGGGACAGCUCAUCAGAGAGCAGAGAAAUACGUGGUUCGUCUGGACAAUGAGAUUCAAAGCAAGUUUGAAGUGUUUAUGAGGAGGGUGAAACAGAACCCAUACACACUAUUUGUGCUAGUUCAUGACAACUCCCACGUGGAACUAACGAGGUGAUUGCUUUCGUGUGAGCAAACACAGUAUUUCUUCUAUAGCAGUCAUUGUUACACCAGGAAAUCUUUUAAAGGUGACAGUGUGAAGCCCCAGGGAUCCUAACAUUUAGUGUCUUCCUCCUGCUAACUUAUUCAUAAUCUUUUCUUGCUCCCUCAACUCUUCGUGUGAUUUAGUGUUGAUUUCAUUUUAAAUAUACUGUGAAGGAAUUUAGAAAUUUAUGUUAGAAGUACUGUCGUAAGAAUAUCAUGGGGGCUGGGGCUGGGGCUCAGUGGCAGAGCACUUGCCUAGCAUGUGUGAUGCACUGGGUUCGAUCCUCAGCACUACACAUAAAUAAAUAAAAUAAAGGUCCAUCCAUAACUUUAAAAAAAUUGUUUAAAAAAAGAAUCUUGGAACUCAGUUGCUUCAGAGAGGGCGGGGAGAAGGAGGUCAAGGAAAUAAGCUCCCAGGAGAGAGAUGAGCUUCCUUCUCUAGCUCUUCCCUAAGCUCUUACCCUUUUUCAUUUACUGCUCUUCCAGUGUUUCCUCCUCUUCCUUCUUUUUCUCUCUUCCCUCUUACCUUUAAAAGUAGUGUGGAAAUGCCACUUAAAUGUUCUGAGAGCAGAUCUGAAACCUUCCCAUUUCCCAAUUUAAGAGGAUAUCGUAUUUCUUGAUUGGACGUAUUAAUGAAAGAACAUUAUGUUUGGAAUGAUAGAAGCAGUUUUGCCCCCAGAUCAAAUUGUAAUUAUCUGGUGAGGUAUGCACUAAAAAGGCAAAUCAUUUUUUAAAAAGAGAGGGAAAAAAAGAAAUAAAAAAUAAAUAAAAAUUAAAAGAGAGGGACACACGUAAGGCACUGGGUUCGAUCCCCAGCACCACAUAAAAAAACUAAAUAAACAAAAUAAAGGUAUUGUGUCCAUCUACAACUACAAAUAUUAAAAUAUAUAUAUAUAUAUAUAUAUAUAUAUAUAUAUAUAUAGAGAGAGAGAGAGAGAGAGAGAGAGAGAGAGAGAGACAAAUAGUCAUCGAGUAUGACAUAUCAUGGUUUGCCCUCACCAUGGAAGGACAGGGUGGUUUCAGUCAUCAUUGAACAUUUUAUCAAUCUUCUUUUCUCCAGGAGAAACUGAGGUUAGGAAUCUGGAAGUUCUUUGGUUUAUGGUAAAAAAUGUCAGAAUUAAAAAAAAAAAAAAAAAUCUUGUUCAGAAGCCAGAAUGGGUUUGAUAGGCUGCAAUAUGAAGUCUAGAACCAUGUGUGUGUAUAAAUAAGACCUUACAUUAAUCUGUUAGAUUUAGGAGAAGGAAAAAAGGAAGAGAAGGAGAGGGGAAAGGAGGGAAAAGAAAUUUUACACACAUCUCUUUAGUCAUUGGUAAUGUUCUGUGAGGAGAAAUAGCUCACUAACCUCACACACCUUGUCUUUCAAAGUUUAGGGAAUAUUUUUGAGGACACAACAUUAGAUCUCUCUGUAUUUAACUCCCUGGGUCAUCAAGAUUAUUUCUUUAAUUUAAAAAGUAUGUUUUUUUGCCAGGUACAGUGGCACACACCUGUAAUCUUUAGCUACUCGGGAGGCUAAAGCAGGAGGAUUACAAGUUUGAGGCCAGCUUCUGCAAUUGGGUGAGACCCUGUCUCAAAAUAAAAAAAUAAAAAUAAAAAGGGCUGGAGAUGUAGCUCAGUGGUAAAGUGCAUUAGUCAUUUGGGGAUGUAGGGGACAUUGUGACCAAAAAAAAAAAAAAAACCCUGAGAAAAAAAUAACUAGGAGAAGGAAAGAUUUAUUUUAGCUCAUGGUUUCAGAGAUUUCAGUUGGUGGUUAGCUUGAGGUGAAGGCAGAGCAUCAUGGCAGGAGGGUAAGGCAGAAGAAAGCUGUUCAGCUUGUGGAAGCCAGGAAACAGAGAGAGCGGAAGAAAGGGGACAAGGAUAAGAUAUAAUCCCCAAGGACACACCUCCAGAGACCUGCUUUCUCAACCCAUGCCCCACCUGCCUCCAUUUCCACUACCUCCCAUAGUCCACUUAACUAUCAAUGGAUCAUUCCACUGAUGAUGUCAGAGCCCUCAUGAUCCAAUCACUUCCCAAAAGCUCCACCUCUGAACAUUGCCACAUUGGGGACCAAGCCUUCAAUAAGUGAAAUCUUUGGAGGACAGCACCCUUGGAUUCAAUCCCAGGUAACACAAAAUUUACAUAUACAUAUGCACGUAUCUGAGGAUGCAUGGGAACCUGGUAAAUACAAAUUGAACAGAACUGAAAGAGCUUCAGAGAUACGAGUCUUGGUCACAAGUUGUAAAAGGACAGUUCUCCCCAGAUGGCCUGCCAGUCUGGAAUCCAUGGCAGGAAUAGGAGUGAUUUUGAUACAGAGGAGCUCUGGCUGCAGGGCUCUAAGCAUUGUGUCCUGGUGAAGAGGCUCCCUCAUUCAGGUGAGCUUUCAAAGUCAAGUGCUCUGUCUCAACUACAGCUGUAGCCAUCCCUGGCCUGGAACACUUUGAGGUGUAUCAGGGGCAAACUGAAAAAAAAAAAUCACUAAAAUCUGUGUGCAAAGGGGUAAGAAGUGUAAAAUUUUCCUCUUUCAAAUCACAUUUCAAUUGAAUCUAUUCCCCCCAAUUUAAAAGAACUAGAAAAGUAAGAACUAAAACAUUAUUUCCAUGUUGGUGUCUGCUUCUGUAUUCAGUCAGUUGAAUUAAAAGGUAUUAAUGUGACUUUCCAUUUUUCUACAGCGUCAUUUCGGGCUCUCUAUCCCAUGGCGAACCCAGUCAUGGAUUGGCUGAUAGAGUCAUCAACUGCAGAGAAGUUCUGGAUGCUUUUAACCUCCUGGUGCUCCAGGUCAGCUCCUUCCCAUACACUCUGCAGACCCAGCAGUCCCGGAUCAGCUCCAGCAACGAGGUUCACUGGAUACAGCUGGAUACGGUGGUGAGUUUCCUAUAUACACUCAUAUUCUCACUUUCCCAGGGAGCAGAAACUUGGAACUGAAUGUGGUGAUGGUACAGCUCAAGAGUUCAAAAUAUAAAUAACAUAAUGUUUCAUCUUCUAAAAGUACCAUAUGAUCAUAAUUUUUUUCUUUUUUUUUUUUUUUUUUUGAGAUGAGGUCUCGCUAUGGUGUGCAGGGUGGUCUCAAACUCUUGAGCUCAAGUGAUUCUCCUGCCUCAGUCUUCUGAGUGCUGGGACUAUAGAUACUCAUUACUAUGUCCUGCUAACUACAAUGAUUAGAAAGACUAAAAACUAGUGAAUAGUGUCCUGUGGAAAUUUGAUUAGGCAGUUCUUUUUGGAUAACAUGCAGAUAGAAAAUUAGCAUCCUGUACAGUUUUUUAUGUGAUGCUAUCUGAGAACAUAAUCAAGACCAUGGAUCACCUUGGUGUCUUUAAAUUAUUAAUUUUAUUCUGAGACCUGGAAAUUUUAUUGUCCUCUUGGGUGGCCUCUUUGUCAAGUUCAAGUCUGGCUGAUCUAAUCACUGUUAAUCACUCUCAUGCCCUACAGCAACUGGUUUUUUUCUUUCAACCAAUUCUCAGAUUCUUGUUUACAACUGUGGAAGAUGGCACUGUACUUUAAGGAAUUCAGUAGAAGCAUUGAAUGUGUUGGAAGUAAUCGUAUAAAUAUCCAGGUCUUUAUAUUUUUUUAUUUCAAUCCCUAAUUCCUGAAAAAUAUUUUCUAUGACCUAUAGACUUAAACCAACUAUAUUAUCAAAGAAAUAAGAGUUGGAUAAAAUAAUAAAGAUAAGCCAUUUUGCCAUGAAUCCUCUGUAUAAAAACACUGAACAUUAGGCUGGAGUUGUAGCUCAGUGGUAGAGCACUCACCUAGCAUGGGUGAGGUACUGGGUUCAAUCCUCAGCACCACAUAAAAAUAAAUAAAUAAAAUAAAGGCAUUCUGUCCAUCUAUAACUACAAAAAAAAUUAAAAACACUAAAAACAUUGGCUAUUUUAAAAUAAACAUCUUAUAGCCAGGCAUGCCUGUAAUCCCAGCUACUUGGUAGGCUGAGGCAGAAUGGUCACAACUGUGAGACCAGCUUGGGCACCAUAGUGAGACCCUGUCUCAAAAAUAGAUAGAUAGGGGCUGAGGAUGUAGCUCAAGCAGUAGCGCGCUCGCCUGGCAUGCGUGCGGCCCGGGUUCGAUCCUCAGCACCACAUACAAACAAAGAUGUUGUGUCCGCCAAAAACUGAAAAAUAAAUAUUAAAAAAUUUUUUAAAAAAAUAGAUAGAUAAGCAUGUUUAAGUUAGAAACAUCAAACAUGUCUUACAUCUGAAUAACACUUAUUUAUUUUUUAAUACCUUUAUUUUAUUCAUUUUUUUAAUGUGGUGCUGAGGAUCGAACCCAGUGCCUCACAUGUGCUAGGCAAGUGCUCUACCACUGAGCCACAACCCCAGCAUUUUAUUUAUUAUUAUUUAUCAACCCAGUGCAUUUUAUUUUAUUAUGAAGCAGGAAGGCUGUCCCUCAGGUUGAGCGCUCAUCUUCAACAUUGCGUUGUUCUUUGCAGAAAGCAGGCUCAGUUCCUUGAAUCAACUUAGCAUCAGUAGCCUUUCCAUGAGGACUAUUUUAGGGUGUUUUCACUGCCACAUGAAGAUUGCUCUGAGCUUUUACUUUUUACUUUACUAGGAUCUUGGUGGCAGUUCCAUCCAUCAUUAAGUGGCCAAGUUAGGGGUGAGAUAACAAAGCCUCCACAGUCCUUUGCCUCUAAACUACAGAGUGGGCCUGUGGGCUGCUCUGAUACAGUGGGAUUGUCAACAGAAGGAAUAAAAGGGAAAACUACCUUUUAAAACUAAAAGUGGAGUUACCCCAUGAUCCAGAAAUUACACCAUUAGGACCAUAUCCAGAGAAAUGAAAUCAGUAUGUUGAGGAGACAUCUGCCUUUUCAUGUUUAUUGAAGCACCUACUCACAAUAGCCAAGAUAUGGAAUAAACCUGGGUGUUUAUGGAUAGAUGAAUGAAUAAAGAAAACAUAGUAUGUGUACCUAAUUGAAUAUUAUUCAGCCACCAAAAAAUGAAAUUUUGUCAUUUGCAGCAACAUAGAUGGAACUAUAUUAUUCAUGGUUUAGAAAAAUGUGGAACAAAACAUGUAUGUAUAUAGAUAUAUGUGUAAUGCCCUCUAUGUCUACACAUACACAGUAUAUAGAGGGAAUUAUGUUAAGUGAAAUAAGUCAAGCAUAGAAAGACAAACACUGCAUGUUCUCACUUAACAUGUAAAGCUAAAAAGUUGAUCUCAAAGAAGUAAAGAGUAGAAUAGUGGUUACCAGAUUCUGGAAGGGUAUUCGGAAGUAAUGGAUGGUGAGAGGAUGGUUAACAGAUACAGGAUGCACUUGAAUAGAAGGAAUAAUUUCUAAUAUUUCAUACCAUGGUAGGAUAGCUAUUGUUGACAACAAUUAAUUGAAUAUUUCAAAUUAGCUAAUAGAGAGGAUUUUGAAGGUUCCUAACACAAAGAAAUAUGUCUGAGGUGACAAAUAUUCCAAUUACCCUGAUCUGAUCAUUACACAUGUAAAGAAUUAUUCAAUAUUUACAUACAUGUAUUGAAAUGUCACACUAAAAAAAUAAAUAAAUGUCACACUGUGUCCCAUAAAUAUGUACAAUUAAUAUGUGUCAAUUAAAAAUAAAACUAUAUUAACAUUUUUAAAUCCAACAGAUAGGUGUCCUAUUAUAUGUGGCACAGAGGAAACUAUCCUAUAUACCUGUUCACUCAGUCUUUUCCAGAAGGGAUCACCUCCAUGAUAGGAAGAAGGGCUAAUAGUUCCCGCCCUUUAUUUUUUUCUUACAUGAAAUAAUAAACAGUUUUAAUUUUCCUUAAAAGUCAUUCCUAUGAUUAAGGUUAAUAUAUUAGGUGUAAUAAUGGGAUUGUGGUCAUAUCUUUAAAAAGAGUAGUUAUCUUCACUAUAUAUAGUAAAGUACUUAUGGAUUAAACAUAGGAUUCCAGGAAUUUAUUUAAAAUAAUUGAGGGGGUAGGAACUUGUUAUACCCUUCUGCAAUUAAAAAUCUGAAAAAUCCUAUGGAAUUGAGGUCAACAUAGAGAAAAGGAAAAUAUUACAUUGAUCUGUGUUACAUUACGCUGAAUCUAAUUUAUGACACGUGGGGGAGAAGCUCCUUUAGUUGUCUUGAAGCCAGCGUCCUAUGGAAGAAUAAAUGGAAAAAGCUAAGAAAUUCAACUCAAGAAAACAUUGUCUAGCACUCAUGGACUUGUGUUGGAUCUUCAAAGAAUACACUGAGAACCGAUGGCUAGAGAGAAGGCAGAAUUCAUAUCUAAGUACUAUUAUUCAAAGCAGAAUAAGUCCAUUUCAUAAAUCAUGGAAGAAAACCAGGAAGAAAACAGCUGUGAGGGCAGUGAGGCCAAGGACUAACAAGCAAAUGCCACUGGGUUUGGCCUCAAGAGUCUUUGGUGACCUUCCAGGGAACAGCAUCAGGAGAGCAGAGUGGCUGCAGCCAAGACAGAGCUGGCAGCUCGAGGUGACUGAGACGGAGAGACUUGAGAAGGGGCAUUUUUGUUUUGUUUUGAUUUAUGAGUAGGGCAUUUCCCCCCAAAUAUUUUUACAGUAAAAUAAUUCUGAGUUUCAUGACAUGCUUCAAAGAAUGGCCCCAUUUACUUCUGUAUUACAAAAGUCCCCAUGACACCGUAUUGUAAACAGUGCAGUUACACUUUAAUGCAAACAUAUCAGACUAUUCGUUCCUAAUUCAAAUUUUUAGUAGUUGUAGUCCUCAAAACUCAUAGUGGCUACAGUUAAUCACAAGACAUCAUUAGCAAUCUGCUUUAUAAUUUUGCUACGAAUAAAGAAAAAUAAAAACAAGGAGAGGAGAAUACAGCCUCUCUAGCAAGUUAUAGUGCUAUUGUCAGAAAAGGAGCAGGCACGGAAAAGGAUUUGCUAUUGUUAAAAAAAAAGGGGGGGGCCAAAAAUUGCCACAGUCUGGCUGGGCACAAAUGCCGCAGUCUGGCUGGGCACACAAUCACGAGCCACCACACAGCUUGUAGAUUCAANGGCAAAAAUGAGAAGGAAAUAUGAAGACCAAGUACACACAAGAUAAAGCUUUUCCUAGUGGCUGUGUCCCUGCAGCCCAGAUGAGGAGGGAAAUGGAGAUGAAUGACUUUUUUCCCCCUUGACCUGACUUCCUUGACUCAGCUCCACUGCAGCACACAGCUAAGCCCAGGAGGAAACAAGAAAGGCCUUGGGGCCUUUGCAAUCUCUGUCAGUCUGUGCUCUGCACCUCCAGAAUCUGUAAGAAUAUCCUCAAGUCCUGAGUCCCCAGGUAAAGUCCAUUUAGUCUCAAUGGAGACCUUGUUCCAGUGAGCAGGUUGACUGCGUUAGAGGGCCUCAAAAUGAAUGAAUGAAUGAAUGAAUAAAUAAAUAAAUAAAAGCUGCCCAUUAGGUAGUGCUUUAUUUUUAUCUUCUGGACCCUAUAAAUCACAAAAUUAUUUCUCUCUUUUAGAUGGGUUACUAAAAAGCUCAGAACCAAAUCUGUAAACCAUUUCUCACAAAGAAUGCAGAAACUUCUUUUUUUUAAAUUUUUUUAGAUAUUGAUGGGCCUUUAUUUUAUUCAUUUAUUUAUAUGCGAUGCUGAGAAUCGAACCCAGUGCCUUACACAUGCUGUGCAAGUGCUUUACCACUGAGCCACCACCCCAGCCUGCUGCAGAAACUUCUGACAUGUAUUUUUUUUGAGAGACUAACCUGGCCCAAUUUUAUUUCUCUUACCCUUACUUUUCUUCCUCUGAAUGCCUAAUUUAUUGUUACAUUAUUACACUUUUAAAAGCUGCAUUAUUUCCUCUAUAAAAUAAGUUGAAGAGGGUUUAAAGAAAAAACUAUUAAUACAAAAUGAAUGAAAGACUGAAAUGCCCAGGCAACGUGACAAUAAGAAAAAAUUAUUGUAUAGAAAAGAGACAAGAAAACUAUAUACACAGACACACAAUAAUAAUAAUAACAACCACCACAGACCUAUGGAGUCAAAAGGCUUAAUAUUCUAGGGUUUCCUAGUUAAAGGACAAACAGCUUGUCACACACCUCAGGAUCCUCUAAGGGCAUCAUUGUGUCACAUCCCAAAAUAGCUACUCAUUUUCACAGUGAUGACUGAGUCAUCAAGAAGGGAACGAAUUAAUACUGUGUAAAAGUAUCUAUCUAUCCAUCUGUCUGUCUAUUAUCUAUCUUAUCUAUCUAGUACCAGGAAUGAACCUAGGGGAGCUCUACCACUGAGCCACGUCCCCAGCCCUUUUUAUUUGAAACAGGGUUUUGCUAAAUUGCUUAGGGCCUCUCAAAGUUGCUGAGGCUGACAUUGAACAAUCCUUUUAAGUUUCUGGGAUUACAGGCGUGCACCGCCACACCCAGCAUAUAUUUUGUUUUCAAAAGGAAACUUUGUAAAAUGAUGAGCUUCUUUAUCCUAAGUACAUGUAUGAAGACACGAAUGGUGUGAAAAUACUUUGUGUACAAUCAGUGACUUGAAAAAUCGUGCUCUACAUGUAUAAUAUGUAAUUACAUUCUGCCAUCGUGUAUAACAAAUUAGAAAAAAUAAAUAAUUGAAUGGAAAAAAAAAAGGAUGAGCUUCUGUGAGUUAUCAUUAAAUGAUGUCAGGAAAGUUAAGUUUUCUGUAAAAGGUUUUGAGUUGCUCUCCAGAGAGUUCUGUGGAUAGCACAGAAUCACAGUUCUGUGGAGAGCCUAUUCCAACAGGGAAAGAAUGGGAGUGGAAGCCAUAUGACCUCAUGUAGCCAAACAAAAGAAAAAGAAAACAAACCAUCCCUGUAGUUUGCCUGAAGGAAGUGUGUCAACAACAUUCCACUAGUCACAUAUUAAGUUCUCUUGACUUAGUGUCAAGGUGUGUGGUAUUAGGGACCCAUCCCAGGGCCUCCUGAGUGCUAGGCAAGUGUGCUACACCCAGGGCCCUAAGUUCUCAUGAAGUGAAAAGAAUCUCAGUUAGUUCCUCAUUGAUGAGUUCAGAUUUGGUAUCAGGUUAUAUAACAGAACAACUACUUUCUUUUCACCUCCCAGGAAAUAACCUCUUACAGGGAAUCUCCUCUCUACUCCCUCUAAAAAUGAGACAUUCUGUAUCCCAUCCUCACUGGCUUUUGUUUGUUUGUGUUUGUGUGUGUGUGUGUGUGCACGCCUGCACGCACUUUGAACCAGGAGGACGUGGGCUGUGAGGAGAAGCUGUACUUCGGCUUGAAUGAAUACAGCAAGUCUCUGCAGUGGGGGGUCACAAGCCCACUCCUGAGGUGCGAUGAGACCUUCGAGAAGAUGGUGAACACGCUCUUGGAGAGGUAAAUAAGGACGCCUGCCCUUUUCUUUAGCUGUGCUUACAUGUCACAGGGAGUUUGGAGCUCAUGCAGAUGACAUGCAGAGGCCAAAUAAGAAAAGCCUCUUCUUCUAAGAUGCCUUUUACCCUAUGGGUUUCACGUGAUCACCUGAGACCAUCAGAGGAAGACGUGACCUAAAAUAGUGACCUACAGUAGGGCACAGCACCCCUUUUCAUGCCCUGAAUUGUCUCCCAAUGAAGCGUCAUUGCUACCAGCAAGAGGUUGAAAGGUCAGAAAGGGAUUUUGCUCAUUAAAGACAUCUCUCUGGCCGCCCUGACCCUGUAUUUCGGGCUUCUACGUCUUCUCCUCUUUCCUCCUGUUGACCACAGGAAAGCAUCCUCAGAUGACUUUGUAAAAACCAAACUUGACUAUGAGAGAGGUGGAGGACAGACUGAAGAAAGUUAGGGAACAAUCAGAGAAUUUCGGUGUGUUCAGUUCUUGGGGUCCCUCUUUCAGUCUCUGAUGCUUAGAGAUUAAGGAUAAUGAUUCUUCUGGCUUGUCUGCCUUUUAUUCCUCAGUUCUAGGUCAAACCCUGAAAGAGUUUUUUCCUUUUCUUAACUUGAAUCAUAAACUCGAAGAUUAGUUAAAGGCAUUUCCUUAACCUAAUAGAAGUUUCUCCUUGUCCUCGGCCUCAGUAUUCUAUGAUCAUCCAACAAUGGAACCGUAUGACUCUAUUGUAUGAGGCAGAUUGUAAUUUUUAGUAACUGUGGUUCUUAAAAUUAGCCUCAGUUGAUCACAAGCUAUCUGUUUAACAAAUCUGCUCUCUAUAUUUUGCUAAGGGAAAAAUAAAAUAAGAGACAAGUGGAUACAUCCUAACUAGCUACUUAAAAUGUUGCCUCAGGAAAUAGGAGUUGGCCUAGAUUUGAUUUCUUCACAGCUGUUAGAUUUGAGAAGUCUUAGCUGACACUGUUACAUUAAUCCUUUCACAGAACAUGUUAUCCCAAAUUUCCAAAAUUAUCCAUGAGUCUCCCCUUUAAAGUCUCCCACCCAUUCCAUGUGCCAGCCCGGAAUACAUUUUUCUUCCCAGGAACAUCAGAGACUCAUAACUUAUAUUUUAAAAGAUGAUCCCAUCAACUUCAAUUCCAACUUUUGUAAUACACAACUACAGUUUGUAGUCUAAUAGAAAUGUAACAGAUUGGAGAAACUAGUUGCUUUUAAAUUCAUAAUUCUUUUCCGAGUGUGAAAGGUAAGGGCCUAUAUAUCAAAGUUACCAUUUAUUCUAACCUUGGCUUUUUUUCCACAUGGCCAAGCAAAACAGAACAAAACACCCUAAGCUUUAAACACAGAUCAUCUGUGCUUUCCUCCUCCAAUGCCGUCUCUUGCAGGCUAAUAAUAGCUAUGAUUUAUUGAACAGCUGAAGGAACUGGCCCAGGAUUGGUGGAACUGAAAUUUUUCUUUACUUUUUCCCCACUAAAACCUUGUAAUGUGUGAAGAAAUUGUCAGAGACCUGAAAAAAAACAGACCCAGCUCAGUCUCCGACAAGUUGUGUGAUCUAAGACGAGGAUGAAUGUCUCUCAGCACCUUAACUCAUUCUGCUCUGAAAGGACUGCUGGUCCUUUCCCCUCUGAAACUCUUCAAAAACAUGUUAUUCGUUUGAUGACCCUAAUUGGUAUUUGCCCCUGGAUUGUUCUGUGCAGGCUGGUGGAACAUCUGUAUUUUGAUUAUAAAAUGAAACAAAUGGAAAUCCCCCACAAUCCAUCCAGUAGCCGGGCAGCCAGGAAGACAGUGCACAGGCUCAGCCCAGCCAAUCCUGGGCCUGGCUCUGCUUUGCCAGCACUCAGUUAGCCACUCAUCUAGUCAUUAGCCUUCCUGAGGAAUAGAGAUUUCUUUUCUACAUGCUCUGUAAUUUUACAAGUUGCCAGUUUCAAUAAAGUGAUCCUCUCUAAGCAGGGACCAAGGGGUGUCACGCUCACAGGCUCACAGCUCUAGUUGGCUUUUCCCCCUUGACUAAUUUGGGUCUCAGACAAUAAAGAGCCCAAGCCACUAGAGGGUGCUCUUUCACCAGUCAGCUCCCCUGUUUCCAGCAAGGCACAUUUACAGGAAGCCAUCUGUAGGGCUGACCUGAAAUUAGAAAUGAUUACCCGUUUUAUGUUGACACUCCAAAAAUACAGUAAUAUCUCCCUUUACUGUAACUUAAGUGUCAGAGAACUGAGUAGACAACAUUGCCAUUCUAACCCAAUGCCACCAGCAAGAGGUUAGGACCCAAGGAUUAUCCCUUAAGAGUCUAACUAGGCCAAUGCAUUCCAGAAUUUAAUGUACACGUGAAUCACCUGUGGAUUCUGAUUCAGUAAGUCAGGAGGGUGGGCAUUUCUAACAACCCCCCAGGUGCUGCUGUUGCUGGUCUAGAGCCCACACUUUUGAGAGGGUAGGGCCACAAAGCAUUCGUAAGCCUCUUGGUUUUACCUGUCCCAUGGGGCCAUUACUCACAUGCUUUGGAAGCUCAACUUCUCCUUCUAGUGAUAUGGGAUCCAAGGUCCUUGUAGAGCUCACACUCCUGAUCAGGAGCCCCUUCCCUGCCAUGCUCCAUCUGCCUUUUGCUGCCUGGGCCUCGCUGUUCCAACUGUCCUGCUGCUGAGUGCCAGGCCCCUGUGCUCUUUUGAAGGUACCCCAGGCUGCACAGCAUGGUCGUCCGCUGCUACCUUCUCAUCCAGCAGUACUCGGAGGCCCUGAUGGCUCUUACUACCAUGGCGUCACUACGAGACCACAGCACACCAGAAACACUCAGCAUUAUGGAUGACCUCAUCAGCUCCCCAGGAAAAAACAAAAGUGGGAGGGGACACAUGCUCAUUAUCAGGGUGCCCUCGGUGCAGCUGGCGAUGUUAGCCAAGGAGCGACUGCAGGAGGUGCGGGACAAGCUGGGUCUACAGUAUCGCUUUGAGAUCAUCCUUGGGAACCCGGCCUCUGAACUCAAUGUUGCAACCCACUUUGUGGCACGAUUAAAGGUUAGCAAAGGACAUACAUUAGUUUCUGUUUUCCAGGAAUCUGAAAUACCAUUUGUUUCUGUUUUCCAGGAAUCCUAUCUAGGUGGCUUAGAGGCCUGAGUUUAGUAGAUUUUUGCACGUGUGUGCAUGUGAUCUCCAGAACAGUGUCAGGGCUAACAUGAGGAAUAUGUUUGCUUUCAUUAAUUGGAGCCAGAUUCUCAAGAUUCUGUCAAGCCCCCUUGUUAGCAUGUGCAUGCAGUUGGUCUCCGUGCUCUCCAACUGCAGGUGCAAAAAAUGAGAUGACCCCAUUUGACCCCAUGUUUAUUGACCUUGUUCGAGAUGCAUCUAGCCCACGGCCAUCUGUUUUCUCAGGAACAAAAGGUAAGCUGUUCUCUGGGACCUUGCUGGGGUCUCCUUUUCAGUAUCCUCAACUCACUAAUUCUUUUCUGUCCAUCUAGCCCAUCUGUCAGCUCAUGGCUAGAGUCGGUAAAGUAUCCCAUUUCAUCUUCAGUACUCAUCUAGAACUGCUUCUAGCCCUUGCAUGUGAAUUUCUCAAUAAUUUGUUGUUUCUUUGUACUUGCUUUGACCUUCAGCCCCCAGGCUUGGCUGGACUGAGACUUAGGGCCUCCUACAGAGGAAUUUAGUGCAUGACAAAGCCCCUCACUGCUGCCUCCAGGACUGACUGAUUGCCUGUCCCCUACCCCUCCUGUCAGGAUGAAUCAACUAACCUAACUUCCUACCUUUAUGCCUGGCUCAGUUUUUUUUGUUUUUUGUUUUUUUUUUUCUGGAAACUUUUACAAUUCAGUGUGUCCUAGCCAUUAAAAAGCACUUAAUCAAACACAUACAUAAUGGUAUGGAAAUGAACUAGGUACUGUACACCUGAGUUAAAAUGACACAGUAUCUGCACCCUGCAUACUAAAUCCUAAACUAAAUCUGGGUAAGAAAAAUCUAGUUUGGCACAAACUUCAUGAAAAGAAAGCAUGUGGUCUUGGGGAAUUUGCAUUUUCACCCUGGGUUGCAGUUCCCCAUCUAUAAAAUGAGAAAGUUGGACUGUAGUGAUUUCCAAGAGCUCGAAUUUGGGGAUUUUUAGUGUUUAUAAAUCAUUUUGCAAAUGCACGCCUUUUUAUUAUUAUACUAGCUAAAUUGAAUAAAAUGCAGAACAUCUCACAUUAGUUUGAUAAGCAACUAGAAUAAAUUAAAUUAUCCAAAAAUGAAAACUCUUUCCUAUAUUAAAUAGAAGUUGCAACAAUUAUAUUUCAGAUCUAGAUAUGUGUUCACAAUUUUUUAUUAUGAUCAUAGGCCACAUUACAGUGGAAUUCCCAGGAUGAAUAACAUUUCGGAGAUAAUAAUUUAGAAAUAAAUAAUAAAAAGCUUAUUGACACACACAGUUUUAGGUCGGUGAUUUGGAAGGGCCAGUCUCUAAGUCAGUAUAUAUCAGUGGAUCCUAAAUAAUUUGUUCCUCUGGGCCAUUGUUUGAAAACCAUAAUCAAGGCCUAAGGUUCUUCACAGCUGGCUCAAAAGAAUCACCUGCAGGGCUUUUAUAGGGUGAUUGGUUGAUGUAGCAAGGGACUAAGACCACUAUUCCAAGAGACUGCCAUACAGAAUGGGUCUAAAGCAGUUAUAUGACCCAGAAUUUGUAUGUGUAGCUGUCACCCACCACCCACACAUAAGGGAGCCCCAUUUUCUCAAAACACUGAAUCACAUCAAUCUACCUUUUUUUAAAUACCUUUUUUUUAAUUGUAAAUGAACCUUUAUUUUAUUUAUUUACAUGCUGUGCUGAGAAUUGAACCCAGUGCCUCACGAAUGUGAGGCAAGCGCUCAACCACUGAGCUACAACCCCAAUCCCCAAUCUAUCCUUUUGAUAUCCUUUGUUUCGGAGUGAAAAUAUGAAAUCCUAUGGGAACAUUCACAUCUAAGCAAAACUGCCUCUUGCUGGAAGGAUUCUGGUUCAUCUGUUUGUUUCUAAGUUACCAGCUUCCUUUACCUUUCUCAGGAUGGCAUAGGGCCUUUAUCUCUAGUCCUGGUUUAAAAAAAAAAAAAAAAUCCCACACUGCUUCCAUUAUAGGAUCUAAUGUUUGUGCUUACCCCUAAAUAUCCUAUAUGUAUUAUGCUUAAUUUACAAAUGUUGACAAGCUCUUUGAAAGGCUAUAUAGGUUCAUAUCCAAGUAAAUCAGUUCCUCCAACAGGCAUAUGAAGCUUUCCUAAGAUUUCCUUGGUCUUGAGCCACAUGUUAUCCUGGAACUCAAUGCUUGUCUAGUCUUUUCAGUUGUCUGUGUUUCUGUAGUAAAAUCCUGAGGGCAGGGUUCAUCCAUGGAAGAACUGUAGCCAUCAUUCAUCAGAAGUAGCAAUGUGGGAGACCAUUUUAUAGUGGGUUUGGCUAGUUCUGAUUGGUCAAGAGUGAGAUGUGUGUAAUAAUCUUCUGAAAAUAAAUCUCCUUGUGUAGUAAAACAUUCUGUUAUCCCAUCAUUACAACCCAACCUCAUUACUCAUGUUGGAAACCUGAACUGUGGAUGGUUUCUGGAAGACAGAGCAUGUUUGGGGAGAAUCCCAUUGUCAGGGAUACCAUGAAUCCAGUGUGAAGGCCUUAAGUAAAAUGAUUCCUAUUUCAGAAUUGGUUGCUUUCAAUCAAGUAAUGUUAUGGUUUCCUUUGACAUAAAAUGGUAUGGAAAAUUGAAUUUUUAUAGAGUCUUCUAGUAUUUUUAAAUCUUUUUGAUUUAACAAUCUGAUUAGCCGGGCGUGGUGGUGCAUGCCUGUAAUCCCAGCAGCUCGGGAGGCUGAGACAGGAGGAUCAUGAGAAAAAGAGAGGCACCAAGCAAUUCAGUGAAAUCCUGUCUCUAAAUAAAAUACAAAAUAGGGCUGGGGAUGUGGCUCAGUGGUUAAGUGCCCCUGAGUUUAAUCCCUGGUACCCACCCCCCCAAAAAAAAAAUCUGACUGAUUUUCUAAGACAUGGUAAGUCUCUCAAACUUGUAAAUAGUUACAUAGAUGUACUGAUUUUCCCUUAGUAUGCAUAUGUGCAUAUAAAAAGAUUGGGCAACAAGUAAAAGCUUAGAAUGGUUUUCUUUCUUCCAGUUUUACAAAAUAUAAAAUUUUUGUUUGAAGUAAUGGUGGUAUAUUUUCUUUUAGAAACUGGUUUCUCUUCAUUGGUUUUUUUUCUAGACAAAUCAUUAUUCAAACUCAAUUAUAUUAUCUUUUACCACAUUUUAUACUUAGUAUAAGAAAAUACCCUUGUAUUUUAAAUCUGUAAGCUGUCUUUACUUUUGAAGAUCUUUCAAGUUGGUAAAGUUGCUUCCUUUUCAUUGAUAUAUUCAUGUAUUCAAGAUUGAUGUUAAGGCUACCCGGAGGUGUGUCCAUGUAUGUGUGUUAAUAUAUAUGGCCAAUGGAUGCUCAGUGGAUUCUUUGUGAAACCUUGAGCAAAUUGCACUACUCUUUCAAAUAAAGACAGUUUUAUUUUUCCUUAGUCCAGCCUGGUUAGCCUGCAUUUUUAGCAUUCUCACAAGAGAUUCUGUGGAGGCCCCAAGCCAACAAUUACUUGUUGGUUAUUUUUAAAGGCAAUAAAGUGAGAAAAAGAAAAAAUAACCAUCAGAAGUAGCUAACUUUGCUAUGUUUUUUUUUUUUCAGUGAAAAUUGCUCUGAUGGGCUUUUGGGAUUCUUUUCUCACUCAUUCACAACCGAAGCUGUCAUUUUUAGUCAGCCAAUCCCAAGAGUUUGUUCAUUAUAUGAAGGAAAUAUGUUUAAGUGUUCACAGGCAGUGCAGUGAGGAUUUCCAUAAGGUCUGUAUCUCUGGUGAGAUAUUUCACAUUGUGUUUUUUAACCUGUAUGAGGUAUACCAAGGUCUCCUAUUUUAUCCUAUUGAGAUAAAAGCUAAAGCCCAUGUUUUCAUAAAGUGCUUCAUAUAUGCUUUUUAAGGUAGUGAUUAGAAUAUCUAUAUACACAUUCAUACUUAGUGGAAGUCAUUAGUAAGUGCAGUGUGUCUAAAAUUUGGACCUAGAAACUUUACAAAGGUGGAAGCCUAAAUAAGGAGUUUCAGAGUUUUAACUGUUUUAAUGGUUCUCUCUCUAUAGACAUGGAGAGGAAAUGAGCCGGAAGAAUGGAUCCCUCGGACAUACCAAGACUUAGAAGGUCUGCCAUGUAUAGUGAUAUUAACUGGCAAAGACCCUCUUGGAGAAACCUUUCCCAGGUAUAGUCUGAAUAACCGAACUCUGCUUGCCACCAGGUGGCAGCUGCACUGAUGAUUAAAACUUGGCUGAUGCAUGCUUAUUAGUCUGAGGUAAUGAGAAGAAGGUUGUUUCAUUCAGGGAUGUAAGAAUACAGCUUUCCUUCCUUGUCUCUUUCCACUUUCCAGAGAGCACCCUCCAAUUCUGGGAAUGGAGAGAGCCACAUUUUAAAAUGUUUGUGCAUGAAAGCAAGGCAGCCAGAGAGGCUGAGAGGAAAAGCAGAGUUUUUUGUUUUGUUUUGUUGUUGUUUGGUACUGAAGACUGAACCUAGAGUCACUUUCCCACUGGCCCUUUUAUUCAUUGUUUUAAUUCAAAAAUUUAUUUUAUUUUAUUUUUCUAGUUAUCAAUGGACCUUUUUAAAAAUUUAUUUAUAUGUGGUGCUGAGGAUCGAACCCAGUGCCUCACACAUUCCAGGCAAGUGCACUACCACUGAGCCACAGCCUCAGCAUUCAAAAUUUUUUUGAGACAGGGAUUCAUUAAGUUGGUGAGGCUGGCUUUGAACUGUCCGUCCUCCUGCUUCAGCCUCCUGAGUAGCUUUGUUUACAGGUGUGCCUCUGCACUGGGCUUUUUUUUUUUUUUUUAACAAAGUACUUUGUCUCUGUUGCUCUGCUAUUCCCAAUCCCAUCAAGGAUCUACGGUGCAGAGUUUGGAAGGCAGCUCUAAUAUAAGCAUCAAUUGGAUGCUUAUGGAGUCCAUCGGGCUGUGCCCUAAAUACAUUAUGUGUUUCAUGCUGUCCUUCCUUGCAGUGACCAUAGUAGGGCUCUGUGUUUUCUAUUUGAAAGAAGAUGAAUUGCAAAGAAGUUCAGGUGGUAAUGUCUGGGAGGUGGCAGAACUGAGGUUUGAAUCAAGGUGUAGCCCUGGUCUUCACUGCUGCAUGACAUACAGGACCUACAGGUCCAGCUUAGACACUGCACACCCAGCCCCAGGGACUCACUACCAAUGCAAUUAAUUCUGUGCAGGUCUUUGAAGUACUGUGACCUCCGGUUAAUUGACUCAAGCUAUUUAACUCGCACGGCCUUGGAGCAGGAGGUGGGUCUGGCCUGCUGCUAUGUCUCAAAAGAGGUCAUCCGAGGGCCCACUUCCGCCCUGGACCUCAGUGGCAAGGAGCCAGAGAGGGCCCCCGUCAUUGAGAAUGACUCUGAGGAGCUGCUCAUUGACCUGGAGCGGCCACAGAGCAACAGCAGCGCUGUCACGGGAACUUCGGGUAGGUACUCUUUCCUUUCUCACAGGAGGGACAGGCCAGGAGGUGUGCAGGUGUGGAAGGCAGAGCUGUUUACGGACCCCUACCGUGCCCAGAGCAGCCAUGGCAACUGUGGCACCCUCUCUAGACCUCAGCUUCCCAGGAGGGCUACCUGGAAAGCAAGGCUGCAGAAUAGUCAUAGCCUACUUCUCUGGGUAAAAAUUUGACCAAGAAUUUGAUAAUAGAUUAAACAGAAUACAUUUUCCCAACCCAGCCUGCACCCCGCUCCCUAGCACUUCCCAUCCUAUCUCCUGUAGUCACUGUACAUCUCAUAUUUGUACAAAAGCCCCCUUUCCUGCCAGGGCCUGAAGCCAUAAGUUUAUGUUGAGUAGCUUACAGCCCGGAACAAAACAUGUUGAGCGAGGGAAUAAAUGACUUUCCUCAAUACUUAGUGGCAAGUGUUCGUAGAGGGCAGGCAUCUCGGGUUGACUGGGAAGAGCCUCCAUGAGCCUGCCGGCCCUUCUUUCAGCAUUCUGAAUGUGGCCUGGCCUGAAUUUCCUUCUGAUAAAUUAUAGGACAGCAAAUCCAGCCCUAUGUUCUAGUCUUUUCUGAUUAUGUUAGUAGUAAAGCCUAAUGUAGAAAACUCAGAGAAUGUAACAAGAUACAGAGAUUCAAAGUGAAACAAUCCAUCGCCAGAGGUAACGCCAGCAACCUCUGAGGCUGCACAUCCCCCAACUCCUUUCCCUUUUUCCUCAACCUAUUAUUUAGAUCAUUUUUUCACACACACACACACACACACAAUAUUUUGUGUCCAAGGCUGUGCUGGUGUUCCUGUUUAUUCUGUCAGCAGCUGUUAGAUGGCUCUCUGGGAACUAAAGAGGCCCUGGCCUGUGGGGUUUUCUGUCCUCGCCACCGAGGGCCUGAAGGAGCAGGAGACCCGCCCUUCUCCCUGUGCACAGCUCUCCCUCCACAGGACCAGCCUGCCCCUGUUUACACUUCCAGCUCCCUCAACCCUAUCACUAUAAGUCUCCCCAAUUUUCCCUCUGAGACUAUCUCAACAUAAAGUCAUAAGAUAGUAAAGGGUAUCAGAGGAGUACAGGGAAAUGUCACCUUUAGGAGCUUUGGGAUUCAGGGGGCAUCAGGAAGGGAAAGGUGGGGAUGGAGGGACACCUGUCUCCCUCCUGCACUUCAGAGCGGAUCUGCGCCAUGUGGCUCCUACACCUCAAGCUCCAGGAGGCUCACACAGAGGAAAUGGUUUUCCCUCUGCUUCUUAGUCUCCUGCCCCACGUUAGUUUUCCUGCUCACAACAUGGGCAUCUGGAACCCCGCCCGUGGGCUCCCUCUGCGGGUGACAGGGCUGAGGGAGUUGUAAAACUCAGAGGAGCAGUGAGUGACUUGGUUUUAAUAGCCACCAGCUCAGGACCUCUCAGGUCUGGAUCUUGCAAGGCUGGGAUUAGACCUACAUGCCUGCACAGCACCAGCCUGAGCUGAAAGAACCUUUAGCCGGAGUAUAAGGAGCUUGUAUUGUCUCAAUCAAACAGGCUGACCUGUUGGGGGGGAAACAACAUACUCAAAGUUAAUUGGCCAAAUGUGGAGGAAUAGCCCUGGGGACGUACAACACCUGGUACUGAGUAAGAAUGCCUUCCAUCCUCUUUUGCACGGGGACAUCCCCACCCUAGGGAGCUUAGCCACAGCCAGCCAUGUGAGAGGCCUGGAGCCCUAAACCCCACCUCAAGGCAGCCACUGCCACUGUAGGGAACUUGAAUCUGGUGCCUGUAUCCACCAGGGUCCUGGAGGGAUCCCGUGUCAUACUGAAUGAGUGGGUUGGAGAAGAGUUUAAUAAUGGGACUGAUUCCCCGUGGGCACAAUUUUGAAAGGGAGCAACAGGUGACAUUGUGCAUGGAAAGUUAACCUGGGAGCCCUGUCCACCAUCAGGCUUGAAGGAAGGCAGGAAGGAGCAGUUACUGAGACCCAAGAAAGAAAGGCCACCCAGGGUGACCACACAGGAAGAAAGUGAGAACCAACUUCUUGCUGGUGUCUCCCAUUGGCCAAACCCAUAAAAAAGGCAAAGCAAGGGAGCAGGCUGGAGCGGUGUGGAGACUCAGGCAAAGGGAAGAUUUAGCACAGAGUCUGCAGCCCACAGAGCUGGGCCAGGAUCCAGCUGCUUUGAGGGCCUUUGCCCUCUCCCUCGGCAACAGUGAUGAGUGGGUGUAGGGAAGGUUCUGUCCGUCGUCUUUCAGGUUCCAUCAUGGAGAAUGGGGUCAGUUCCUCCAGCACAGACAAAUCCCAGAAGCAGUCCCUGACCCCCAGCUUCCAGAGCCCAGCCACCAGUGUGGGGAUGGACGAAGGUGUCUCGGCCAGCACAACUGGAGCUGGGGACCCCCUGAAGCAGGAGUGUGACUCCCUGGGCCCUCCAAUGGCCAGCAGUACCACCUCCAAGCCGUCGUCGUCGUCCUCGGGACCCAGGAGCCUUGCAUGGCCAGGGCAACCUCCCAGAGGCUGUAGGGGCCUACACGCCACCCUGCCCCCAAUCGUGAUCUUAUCCAAAGCAGCCUACAGCCUCUUGGGCUCCCAGAAGGGUGGCAAGCUGCCCUCCUCCUCGUCUCUGCUGCCCCAUGCUGAUGUGGCCUGGGUCAGCUCCCUGCGGCCAUUCCUGCACAAGGACAUGAGCAGCGAGGAGCAGUCCCUCUACUACCGGCAGUGGACCUCGGCUCGGCAGCACCAUGCCGACUUCAGCAACCAGCCCGACCCAGCCUCGGGUGCCCGGACCUUCCACCCCCGGCGGCUGCUGCUCACUGGGCCCCCCCAGGUAGGGACAGGCCAGGCUGAGCCCUGUCCUAGGCUAGGGCUGGCACAUCUUGCAUGUGGAGAGGAACCAGGGGACCUCCUUGGGGUGGGUGGGGGUGGCAGGCCUCGAGGAAAGACCUCCUUCAGGCCCCCGGAGUGAGGCGCCAAGGUGUGAAAUCUCUUUUCUCCUUCCCUUCCUUCUCUUCCCCUCCCCCGCCCUUCCCCAAUUAAAACUAUUUCCAUCAGGUGGGAAAGACUGGCUCCUAUUUACAGUUCCUUAGGAUCCUCUUCCGCAUGCUCAUCCGGCUCCUGGAGGUGGAUGUGUACGAUGAGGAGGAGAUCAAUACUGGUGAGUCCUGAGCCGGGCGGGACACAAACGCAUUAGACACCAAGUGCAGGGAGCUUGCUUUUGCUUUCUGGGGUUUCUAUAAUACCAAACUUGCCCUGCCCUGACAAAGGUUACCAAGGUUGAAGACAGGUAUGCCGGGCAAAUAAUUGUAAGACUGCCCUCUUUCAGUUCCAGGAGGUCAGGAGGACCUCCCUCUCUCCAGUGUCCAGCAAGUACAGGGCAACAGGCAUUUGAUAAAGGCUUGUUAGGCACCUUAAUUCCUAGAUGGCCAAACUCAUAAAAUCCCAACUUGUAGUGUUCAAUUUUGUAAGGAUCCAGGGAACAUUUAUAUUUUUAAUUCCAGUCCUUUGUUGGUUAGCCAGAGUGUAUCUUAUAUUUUAACCUCAGGUUGUGUGUGAAGGUGGAGGAUUACUAUAAGGAAAUGAAAACUUCCUGAGUGUAGAACCGAACACCUAUGCCACCGCUUCCCCUCUGCAACAAGAGACGAUGGAGGGGCUUGAGGGCUGUGGGGUCCAGUGUGCCAAUAAAGAUCUCCUGAGGGCUAGGGGUGUAGCUCUGCUGUGGACCCCUUGCCUAGUGUGCUGUAGGCUCUGGGUUAGAUCCUUGGCAUCAAACCAUAAACCUUUCAUGCUGACAGAAGUUGUGGGAGGCAGCAGAGGGGGCCUGGCAGAAGUUCUUCUGAGUCCCUCAGAGACGAGGACUGCCCUUGACAUCUUCUAUCAAAUCAGUUCUUGGAGAGCUUAUCUCACUUGUUUUUCUUAAAAUAGUUGGGCCUGUUCUAUGAACAGCCCCAAGACUAAUGCAGAUACAAAUAGAUAAAAAUCAGCCACGUUUAAUCAUUUUGUUAUGGCUUUAGCCCUGUACCCAUUCCUCACUAAUCCACAUCUAUGAUUUCAGAGACACACAUACAAUGUCCCCCACCCACAUCUCUUUGUGUCCCCAGCUAAGCUGCAUCAAAUCCCCUGGGGCCCACCACAGAGGAGAAGGAGAGCUUCAGGGUGGCCUCAAAACACCCCAAGCCUUGGAAAGGGGCUGGGACCAAAAAGACAAGCCUUUGGGAGCCAGGGCCCUGUUGUUCCUGCCAGCUCUCCCACCAGGCUCCCUGACAGCACAAGGAAGCGAUGCCUUUGAUUUUUAUCCUCAGAUUGUACAAGAGAGGUCUCAAAUCUUCCUCUGCUCCUGAGGCUGUGGUUGUCCAUCCCAGCCGGUCUGAUGGAAGAGCCUGGGCUUUCUUCGCACUCACUCUAGUGCAGGUUAACACAGUGGUGCUAUGGAGAGGCACAGUGACACUUCCUUAAACUAGAAUAAAACUUGAAAUUUUAAAUAAAAUACAAAAUUCAACUCAAGGCAUAAAAGUACUUGUUUGUGCUAAAAUAAUAACGGCAGCACUUCCAGUCUUUUAGGCUUCAUUUUCCACCAAAGUGUAUUUCUUUCAUUCCCUCUUUAAGCUACUUUUCUUUUUGGGGGGUGGGGGAGGUAGGAUACUAGGGAUUGAACCCAGAGGUGCUUAAACACUGAGCCACAUCCUUAGCCCUUUUUUAAUUUUUUGAGACAGGGUCUUACAAAGUUGGUGAGGUUAACCUUAGCCUCCUGAGUUGCUGGGAUUUCAGGCAUGCACCAUACCUGGCUUAGGCUGCUUUUUGAUCUUACACAUUUUACCAAUAGCAUCAUCUACUAGACACCAACUCUGCCUGCCAUUCCAAGAAACCAUCCCUAAAACUAUAAGAACUCAGGCACUUGGAGGGGUUAAGUUUGGUUCUUAUAGGUGUAAAGCAGUAUUCAAGCCCCAGCCUAACCUUGACCACACAAUGGAAUGAUCUAAGGAGCUCUGGCAGCAUGGUGGGUACCUGGGUAACAAAAGAGAUCCUGCCUUUACUCUUGUGGUGGGUGGGGCCUGAGAGUGGGGUUUCACGAGCUUCCAGGUAAUUUUAAUGUACAGCAGACACUGGCACUCUCAUCUUGAAGUCUCUUGGGUGUCAAUAUCUUAAAACCCCAUAACUAAAACUCUUUUAAGAAUUUAAAUCAUCCAAAUAAACAAGUUGUUUUUUUUUUUUUGGUGUGUGUGUGUGUGUGUGUGUGUGUGUGGGUUUUGGUGGGAAAUUCAGUUGAUCUAAUGGAUGCAAGAGUUUCUGAACUGGAUCUAUAGAGACUAGUGUAGGGGUGAACACUCCUUGCUUGAAGGAAUAAUUAUGGCUUUUUCUGUCCUGGGAUAAUGGGGCUCAUUUUUUCAGAAAUGCUUUGUUUACCCAUCGGGGCUUUAUGCUUCAGAAAACCUCUUCCUGACACUGUGGAGGGAGGGAGGGAGAGAGGGAGGUAGGUUAAUCUGCCUGUUCUGCACACUUCCUUCUUGUCCUAGAUCACAGUGAAAGCAGUGAAGUGAGCCAGUCAGAGGGAGAGCCCUGGCCUGACAUCGAGAGCUUCAGUAAAAUGCCUUUUGACGUCAGUGUGCAUGAUCCCAAGUACAGUCUGAUGAGCCCGGUGUAUACGGAAAAGCUGGCAGGGAUCAAACAAGGUCAGUGCAAGUGCAGCCAGGCUUACCUCCUGCAAAUCCAAGGAUACCAGAAAAUCAGGACACGAGGCCUGGGGCAGUUCAAUCUUUCGGAACAAUUUAAAUAAUUCUCCCAGUUUUCUCUUCUCUUUCUUAUUUACACACAUCAUCUUUUGAUUUUCUUUUUUUUUUAAGUAUUUAUUUAUUUUUUUAAUUGUAGUUGGAUACAAUACCUUUAUUUAUUUUUAUGUGGUGCCGAGGAUUGAACCCAGGGCCUCACCCGUGCUAGGCAAGCGCUCUACCACUGAGCCACAACCCUAGCCCAUCAUUUGAUUUUCAUACAUUCCUCUCAGGGCAUAAAUUAUAAAAUUCUUGGAAAAAAAUCCUUUUGGAAAAUAGAGGAUGUUUUUUUUCCCCCAGGUACAAGGGAUUUACACACAUAUUAUGGAAUGAUGGUUUUCUACCCCUUUUAUACACAGAAGUAAUAAAGGAAUGCAAAAUUGAGGAGCCCCGGAAACGAGAAACUGUAUCCAUGAUGCUGACCAAAUAUGCUGCCUACAACACCUUUCACCACUGUGAGCAGUGCCACCAGUAUAUGGACUUCACCUCUGCCUCCCAGGUGCAGCUCUCACCUUUGCCCCUGCCUUACAUCUCUGUUACCAAUAGGGAUUUGCGUGUAAGGAUAGGGGCGGAGGGAUAUAACAUAAGCCCCUAGAUAAAGUAUAGCUUAUUUAUGAGAAACAGCUACUCAUUGGUGAGAAAAAUGCAUGAAGCAAUGAUUAGAUGAGCUUUGGACUUACAGGGAUUGUGGGAGGGUAAGCAGCUUAGUUUUAGGGGCUUAAGUUACUUCAUGUGUCAUGUUUAGGUUAAAAAGCUGAGAUGCUUAUCUGUGAUUCUGAAAAAAACUAGAUAUUACAGUAUGCUCAGUAAAAGCCACCGCCCCGCCCCCCCUUGGGUUGUUGACUAAAAUGGCAGGAGUCCAUAUGGUGUGUCCUAACAAGUCUGAUUUUUCACCAAUCUAGGCACAUAUUACUUCUUGGGAUGAUUUUGACCAGUGGAGUCAAUGUUUCAUGCAGUGAAAGAAACACAGAAAGUGAGCCAUUAUCCCUUAGCAUUUGGCUUUUUUUGUGUGUGCUGUGGAUUGAACCCAGACGAUCACGUGAAUGCUUAAGCACUCACUGAGCUACACCCCCAGCACAGUAUUUUUGGCUAGUGCAUCUUUAAACACAAGGGAAUGGUAGCAAAUGACAAUAAAACCUAGAGCCUGUCCAUGCUGCUUUCUGCAAAUUUAUCUUCUUGAUUUUAUUUAUUUAUUUAUUUACUUACUUAUUUAUUUUUCGGAUUAUUUGGAAUUUAUUAUGUCUACUAGGCAUGAAAGUCAGAAAAUCCAGUAGAGAGUUGUCUAUAGGACUGUGGAUCAGUAUACAAUUUGGAGUUGAUAAAAUAAAACACUUAAGGCUUCAGAAAUAAAUCUCUUUAUAUAUUUUUUAUUUGUUCUGAUCAGUUAUACAUGACAGCAGAAUGUUCUUUGAUUCAUUGUACACAAAUGGAGCACAAUUUUUCACUUCUCUGAUUGUACUCUUCUUGAUUUUAAUGAGUUGGCACUGAGCACCUAGAAACAACUCUUGCUUCUUUGAGGCCAUGCUGAGUGGAUCCCCCAACCUGUUUCUGCUCCUCAGGACCAGGUCCUCACCCCUCCCCUGCAUCACAUCCUGAAAUACAAAUGGACACUGGAAAGGACACAUUGAAAAACUGGAAUACAGAUCACCUUUUGUACACUAUUUGCUUGCUUGGUGGGCUACUUUGAAAUCAGCUUUAAUGCUUUACAGAAUACAGAAUAUGCAAGUCCUCUGAUCUAUAAACCAUAAGUUUUUAGAAAAAUUUUAAAACCCCUUUUCAUAAAGGUUUAUUUAUUUUUUGGUACUGGGGAUCUAACCCAUUGAGCUACACCCCCAGCCCUGUUUAUUUUGAGACAGGGCCUCACUAAGUUGCUGAGGGUUUAGCUAAAUUGCUGAAGCGGGUCUUAACCUUGCGAUCCUCCUGUCUCAGCCUCCAGAGUUACUGGGAUUACAGGCAUGCACCCUAUGCCCAGCUUUUUCAUAUAUAAAGUUUCUGUAUGACUACAGUACUAAGUAAUAUAUUUCCACAUCUGUGAAGCAGAAUAAACUAGAAUUUUUUUUUUGAAAGAGAGAGAAUUUUAAUAUUUAUUUUUUUAGUUUUUGGUGGUCACAACAUCUUUGUUUGUAUGUGGUGCUGAGGAUCGAACCCGGGCCGCACGCAUGCCUGGCGAGCGUGCUACUGCUUGAGCCACAUCCCCAGCCCCAGAAUAAACUCGAAUUUAAAGGAAGAACCAUAAUAUUGUUUUUUCUAAGAAAUGUAAUAUUUGGGUUAAAACUAUUGAGAAACCAUUCUGGAUUCUGGUUACUGAGGAAUAACUGAUGUUAUCUUUCAUUAAGCCAAAUAUUGUCUGCAUUUUGUAAAAGCAUGUAAAAACCUAUUAUAUAAUUAUUCAGAGAUAGGCUACUGAGAGCACGUGAACUUCCCAGCAACUUGGCUAGGAUGAGUAAAUGGUCCUUCCCUAAAGCCAGAGUUUGGGACUAAAUGACUGUGUCUUUACAGCUUCCAGUGCAGCCAGGAAAGAUGGUGCCACAGAAGCCAAUUCAGUGGUGUCAGUUCUACUUUGUUUAGAAAGCUCAAAUUCAGUUCAUUCAACCCUGGCUCACAGAGCAUUAGUGUUUCCCCCUGUAACUGGGGGCCUUUGGGAAUGUGCACAUAGCAGAACACACCAGAGGGAGGUCUGAUCUCUGCCUAAGACUGAGCAAUUGAGCCCUAAGAGCAUGAAGAAUGAAAAGACAGUGGCAGCAACAAGUCCUUCAUCCAUGGAGAGGCCACACAGGGCAAGAUGCCUAGCUCUCAUGUCAGUGGAAGCUACUGUGUGUUGAAGCUUCCCACCCUUGUAACUGUUGCUACCCUCAGCCUGAAGAUCUGGUGGCACUUGUAGAUGUCAGUUUGCCUCUUAAUAACAAGGCCAAGGAGGGACCAGGAAGUCUGGAAACCCUGAGCUUACAUUCCCUUUCUUCUUUUCAAAUGUAGAUGUCUGACUCCACCCUUCAUGCAUUCACAUUUUCUUCCUCUAUGUUGGGAGAAGAAGUUCAGCUGUAUUUCAUCAUCCCCAAAUCCAAAGAGAGUCAUUUUGUCUUCAGCAAGCAGGGCAAACACCUGGAGAGCAUGCGGCUGCCUCUGGUUUCAGACAAGGUGGGUGAGAGGUCUAGAUGGUUGCCAGACACCCGGCACUAGAUCAGGUUCUCCAAGCUGCUCACAUCUGAGGGUUUUACUUUCCCUUUUUGGUCUUACUUUUUGGUUUUACUUUUCCUUUUCAGCAGAAUUUGAAUGCAGUCAAGAGCCCUAUUUUCACUCCUUCCAGUGGUCGCCAUGAGCAUGGACUCCUAAACCUUUUCCACGCCAUGGAGGGCAUCAGCCACCUUCACCUUCUAGUGGUCAAAGAAUAUGAGAUGCCGCUGUACCGCAAGUACUGGCCCAACCACAUCAUGCUGGUGCUUCCUGGCAUGUUCAACAAUGCAGGCGUGGGUAAGGGGCCCCCUGGGAUGGGGAGAAGGGCUAAGCAAACUGAGCUCCAUUCCCCUGCCAUAAAACUUCCAAAGGUUUCUCUGCCUCUGGACGGUGUCCUGCUCUCCUGGCCAGAAGUCUUUUGACGCUUUGCAUUUCUCUAUGCCCCUUACUACCUUUUCUGUAGUUUUGCAGAAAUUUUAACUUCCAAGGACUAGUAACUAAGGAAGUCACUGUAAUAUUGAGCACCCUGGGAAGGGUUUAAGAUUCUUCCCAGGAACUUGGUCCUUUGAGGCCAGAAUGUAACCCUGAAAAGAAAGAUGAUUUGAGGGGAGGUAGUGUUUCACCUGUUCUUAAGAGUCCCUGACUCACUGUCCUCCUAGGAGCACAUACCAAGUGCUAGCAGACGGCAACCCGUCCAGGGAAUUGGAAGAAUCAUUCCUGCUUGGAAGGAGUCUUUUCUGCUUUUCCCCAGGGAGUUUAGAAAUAAUGAAUUCAUUUCUCAAAGGGGCAAUGGUUGCAGAAUAUAAAGCAGAGCUGUGGGGAGGUAAUGGAGAUACCAAGAACACUUCAUUU
rnacentral:lncRNA from 1 species